UACGUAGGGGGCAAGCGUUGUCCGGAUUUAUUGGGCGUAAAGAGCGUGUAGGCGGUUAUGCAGGUCCGCUGUGAAAACUGGAGGCUUAACCUCCAGACGUCGGUGGAAACCGUAUGACUAGAGUCCGGAAGAGGAGAGUGGAAUUCCCGGUGUAGCAGUGAAAUGCGUAGAGAUCGGGAGGAACAUCUGUGGCGAAGGCGACUGCCUGGACCAGCACUGACACUGAGGCACGAAAGCGUGGGGAGCAAACAGG
rnacentral:rRNA from 1 species